rnacentral:snoRNA from 1 species
CGCGUCUUCACUUCGACUCUCGGUGGAUUCUUCCUGUUCCAUCGAUUGAGGCGAAGCCUUUUCCCGCAGCUGCUCGCGGCUGCCUGAGGAGGAAACCAAGACGAGAAUGAGUGAUCAGUCUUUGAGUACGGCUGCUUCUUGUGGGGCAGUUGUAAUUUAGUACUGGCACAUUC